rnacentral:misc_RNA from 1 species
GAUGAAGAACGUAGCGAAAUGCGAUAAGUAAUGUGAAUUGCAGAGUUCAGUGAAUCAUCGAAUCUUUGAACGCACAUUGCGCCCGUCAGUAUUCUGACGGGCAUGCCUGUCCGAGCGUCAUUUCAACCCUCAAGCACUGCUUGGCGUUGGCGGAUUGCGUGCCCUCGCGGCGCUGCAACCGCCCAAAUACAGUGGCGGUCCCGCGGCGGCUCCCUUUGCGUAGUAACACACCUCGCACUGGACCGUGCGGCGGCCUGCCGUAAAACCCCAACUCACGAAAUGUUGACCUCGGAUCAGGUAGGAAUACCCGCUGAACUUAAGCAUAUCAAUAAGCGGAGGA